CGUUAAAUUACUUCUACGUCAUUUAAUUAAUUUGGCUACUCUUGGAGUCGCGAAGGCCAGGAUCUUUCGUCUUCGUCUUCAUCUAAACAUUAAGUAAGAUACAUGGAGAAAAAUGCCAGCACUGGUGGCGGGUGCAGCCGCGGGAUGAACUUGUUCUGCUGCAAGAAUAGGCUGACCGAAUCUUGUAGUGAUCAGAAGAAAACAAUUGCAGGUUGCUGCCCUCCUGUGAUAAAAUUUAUUGAGUGGUUGGCGGCACGACUGAUUAAGGUGGUUAAAGCCGCGUUUUUCACUCCGCUGGAAUGGUGUCAUUGCAUGGAUAUUGAGACCAAAGAUGAUAACGAUGGUGGUACUGGUGGGCGGCCGUUGAUCGACAACAACGUUCACCUGAAACCAGGGGAAUAAAUGCAUGGGAUUUGAUCAACUGAAGUUCGCAAGCAAUUGAAGAAGAUGAUCUAAUGUACUUGGUAAGAUGGAUCCCCAACUCCAAGUUCGGCAUAUGCAUGGAAGCUAAUGUAGCAGCUGCUUUUCAUUCUCGAUAGGCCUUCCUACAGUAUUUGUAAUAUUCUGGUAUUCGAUUUGGUAGGAGUUGCCUUCCCACGGCAUGUGAACUCUUAACUGGCUUAUGUUAUGGAAUAUAUUAGCAUUAGUUUGCCCUA